rnacentral:lncRNA from 1 species
CCUUAUACUGCUAUCAUAAGAAAGCGUCAUAGUUCUUGGUGGGAACUCUUGAUUCUAGACACAACAUUUCAGGAUGCUCUGAUCUACUUACCCAGUAACACCUAAAGCUGCCAGUUUUGAAUGGAGCCCAGAAUAAGAAAAAGUGCUGCCAUUGGUUUGGACUGAAGUAUGCAUGCUGCUUUGCCACUUGGAAUUUAUGAACCAGCAAACUCAACGAGUGCUCAGGACAUCUGUGGAAGGCAGGCUUGCUCUGGCAAGCCCUGACAGGGGAAAAUAAAGUUAUUGCUGGCUCAUUGUUUCUCAAGAUCUACAGGAGCAGGUCAACUAGAUGAGAGUGGCUUCUGCCAUUGUCGGGGACGCAUCUGAAACCAAUUUUCCCAAUGUUGUGC